rnacentral:snRNA from 1 species
ACAACAUUUGACUUACUUUUGAACCUUAUCAGUUUAAUAUCUGAUACGUCCUCUAUCCGAGGACAAUAUAUUAAAUGGGUUUUUGGAACUAGGAGUUGGAAUAGGAGCUUGCUCCGUCCACUCCACGCAUCGACCUGGUAUUGCAGUACCUCCAGGAACGGUGCACCCCUU